rnacentral:lncRNA from 1 species
AUGCUGUGCGCAUUUAUUUACCGUCCUCCACAAUAUAAUAAGGACUUUUUAGAUGAAUUUGCGGCGUUUCUAGCUCAAAUCUUCUGUAAAUAUGACCGUCUCCUCCUGUUGGGGGAUUUUAAUAUUCAUGUCUGUUGUCCCGACAGACCUAUGGUGAAGGACUUUUUGGAUCUUGUCGAUUCGUUUGGCCUGUCGCAACUCGUGAAUGGGCCCACGCGUGGCCAUGUUCACACACUGGACCUGGUUCUGUCUCAUGGGCUGAGUAGCAGUGACUUGGCUAUUCUCCCUGCUACUUUCUCUGAUCAUUCACCAGUUCUGUUUAACCUGGAUGUGGCUUCUUCUUCUCGUACUGACCAUGUCCACACUCGUCUCUCUCGAGUUAUUACUCCCUCUACUGCUGGAGAUUUUGUAAAUGUUUUUGCUCUGACAUCAGCCACCUGCGAUUUUACUGAUGUUGAUAGUUACUUGCAUCUUUUUAAUUCAUCCUGUCUAGCUGCUAUGGAUUCUGUAGCUCCAUUAAAAUCCAGACUGACCAAGAAUAAGCCUGACCCUUGGCUGAACGAGCGCACUCGUUCAAUCAGGCAACACUGCAGAAGACUGGAGCGUAAAUGGAGUAAAGACAGGCUUGUGGUCUCCUUUGAAGCCAUGAGAGAAGCGUGGUCGCAGUAUCAAAAAGCUGUUAGAGGCGCUAGAAAUCGUUUCUUUGCAGGGAUUGUUUCUGCUAAUUCUAAUAAUCAAGCUGUUUUGUAUAAAACCAUGAAUGCUAUGCUCUCACCUGUUAAAACACUAUUUCCCUCUGUUUCUGCUGGCUUGUGCAACCAAAUCCUUCAGUUUUUUUUAGAUAAGGUUGAUAAAAUCAGAGCUCAGAUUCCUCCUACUUCCAAUGUUCCUGUUACUGUCAUUCCCACUCAUGAUUUAUUUCAUAGUUUUCAACCCAUUUCUCUGUCUUGUCUGGAAAAAGCUAUUGCUACCAUGAAGCUAUCGGGCUCUCCAGAUGAUGUUGUUCCACCUCGUCUCCUGAAGGAGGUAUUUCCGUUGAUUGGGCAAUAUGUGCUGGAUAUUAUUAAUGGUAGCUUGACCUCGGCUGUGGUUUCUCAUGACUUUAAACAUGCUGUUGUGCAGCCAAUCCUGAAAAAACCUGGUCUGGAUCCUGCCAAAUUCUCUAAUCUCCGUCCAAUCUCUAAGUUACCAUUUUUAUCUAAAGUACUUGAGAAAGUAGUGUACGAACAGUUACUUAUACAUCUUAAUGACCAUCAGGUAAUGGACAUGUUUCAGUCUGGGUUCAGAAAACAGCACGGCACAGAAACUGCUCUUGUUCGGGUGACAUCUUUCUGGCAUUAG